rnacentral:misc_RNA from 1 species
GUUUUUGACUGGUCUAUUCCUGAAAAUUUGUUUGCCAAGUUUUCUGAAAGUGAGAAGAUGAGGCUAUGAAUGGGCAGUUUUUUAGUUGACAAGACUAAUGGCUUUUACAAGACAGUGCAAGAACUUUGGGACGGUGAACUGUAAGCAGACAGAUAUUUCAAAUUAGAUUUCCUUUUUGGCUUCUUCUCUCUUGUAUACACAAAUGUCGAAUAUUUCUUCUGCUUGCAAUUAGAGAAUAAGCAGACAGAUAUAGCCAAAGGAAUUUGGAUAGAAAUAAUGAACUGAGUUAAUGUUCUGUACGCUGUCAACAAAGAUGUUAUAACAUGUUUGUUUUCAAAACUAAUAAAUCUUCUCUACCA